rnacentral:rRNA from 1 species
UAGAGUUUGAUCCUGGCUCAGGAUGAACGCUAGCGGCAGGCCUAAUACAUGCAAGUCGAACGGGAUUCAGAAGCUUGCUUCUGAUGAGAGUGGCGCACGGGUGCGUAACACGUAUGCAACCUACCUCUAACAGGGGGAUAGCCUUCCGAAAGGGAGAUUAAUACCGCAUAAAAUUAUAGAACGGCAUCGUUUAGUAAUUAAAGUAACAACGGUUAGAGAUGGGCAUGCGCAACAUUAGCUAGUUGGUAAGGUAACGGCUUACCAAGGCUACGAUGUUUAGGGGAUCUGAGAGGAUUGUCCCCCACACUGGUACUGAGACAGGGACCAGACUCCUACGGGAGGCAGCAGUAAGGAAUAUUGGUCAAUGGACGGAAGUCUGAACCAGCCAUGCCGCGUGCAGGAAGACGGCCCUAUGGGUUGUAAACUGCUUUUAUCAGGGAAUAAAGUGCGUUACGUGUAAUGUAUUGAAUGUACCUGAGGAAUAAGGAUCGGCUAACUCCGUGCCAGCAGCCCCGGUCAA